rnacentral:rRNA from 1 species
UACGAAGGGGGCUAGCGUUGCUCGGAAUCACUGGGCGUAAAGCGCACGUAGGCGGAUCUUUAAGUCAGGGGUGAAAUCCCAAGGCUCAACCUUGGAACUGCCUUUGAUACUGGGGAUCUCGAGUCCGGAAGAGGUGAGUGGAACUGCGAGUGUAGAGGUGAAAUUCGUAGAUAUUCGCAAGAACACCAGUGGCGAAGGCGGCUCACUGGCCCGGUACUGACGCUGAGGCACGAAAGCGUGGGGAGCAAACAGG